AGAGUUGAUCCUGGCUAGGAUGAACGCUGGCGGCGUGCCUAACACAUGCAAGUCGAGCGGAGAUAAGUUGAAGCCUAGCGAUUCUUAUCUUAGCGGCGGAUGGGUGAGUAACACGUGGGUAACCUGCCCUGUACUGGGGGGAUAACAGCUGGAAACGGCUGUUAAUACCGCAUAUGCGCACGGAGCCGCAUGGCCCUGGGCGGAAAGAUUCAUCGGUACAGGAUGGGCCCGCGCCGGAUUAACUUGUUGGCGGGGUAACGGCCCACCAAGGUGAUGAUCCGUAGCCGACCUGAGAGGGUGACCGGCCACAUUGGGACUGAGACACGGCCCAAACUCCUACGGGAGGCAGCAGGUGGGGGAUAUUGCACAAUGGGGAAACCCUGAUGCAGCGACGCCGCGUGAAGGAAGAAGUAUUUCGGUAUGUAAACUUCUAUCAGCGGGGAAGAAGAUGACGGUACCCGCACAAGAAGCCCCGGCUAACUACGUGCCAGCCGCCGC
rnacentral:rRNA from 1 species